rnacentral:rRNA from 1 species
UACGGGGGGAGCAAGCGUCGUUCAGAUUUACUGGGCGUAAAGGGCGCGUAGGCGGCCACCGCAAGUCGGUUGUGAAAUCUCUGGGCUUAACCCAGAAAGGUCAACCGAUACUGCGGGGCUAGAGUGCAGAAGGGGCAACUGGAAUUCUCGGUGUAGCGGUGAAAUGCGUAGAUAUCGAGAGGAACACCUGCGGCGAAGGCGGGUUGCUGGGCUGACACUGACGCUGAAGCGCGAAAGCUAGGGGAGCGAACGGG